CUCGAAGCUGGCAAAGCGGAGAAUCUUGAUACCGGAAAAGCCAUGCUCGACACGAACGCGGCCACGGACCAUGAGAAAGACGGUGAGCAACGCGAGCAUGCCAAUGAUGGCGACGCCGCCAAUGAUGGGAAGCGAGUGGCGCUGGAAAUCGCGCCAGUCCUUUCCAGCAGGCUGAAUCAGGCUUGAGGCUCGGAUCGGGAAUGGUGAUCCGCCCGGUGAUCUUGUCGCCUUCCUUCAGCGCCUUGAGAAGCUGGUCUUCAUGCACAGC
rnacentral:misc_RNA from 1 species